rnacentral:rRNA from 1 species
UGAGGAAUAUUGGGCAAUGCCCGCAAGGGUGACCCAGCAACGCCGCGUGGAGGAUGAAUGUCGUAAGAUUGUAAACUCCUGUUAGAGGGGAAGAAUAGUACCGGUUGGACCGGUAUAUGACUGUACCCUCAGAGAAAGCCCCGGCUAACUACGUGCCAGCAGCGGCGGUAAUACGUAGGGGGCAAGCGUUGUCCGGAUUUACUGGGUGUAAAGGGCGCGCAGGCGGGAUAAAAAGUCAGUGGUGAAAUCCUACAGCUUAACUGUAGAACUGCCUUUGAUACUUUUAUUCUUGAGUUCGGGAGAGAGAGACGGAAUUCCAGGUGUAGUGGUGAAAUACGUAGAUAUCUGGAAGAACACCAGUUGCGAAGGCGGUCUCUUGGUCCGACACUGACGCUGAGGCGCGAAAGCGUGGGGAGCAAACA